UAUCUUUUAUUAUUCCUAUUUAAAUUGGCACAUAAUUAUCAUCCUAGUUUCAGAAAAUUACUUCUGCUGGUCCAUAUACAGUAUGACUAUCAAUCAUUAUAUCUAAUCUUCUUUUGGGAUACAUGUUUAGAGGGACAUCUGUACUGGUGCUCAUAAUUAGCUAAUGGUAGUUACAUCUGGGCAGGAGAUUUAGCAUAAAUUUUUUAGCUGUUUUUUUCCCUUUUCACUCAGAUUUUUGAAAUAAUGAGAAUGCACCACUUUUAAGAAAAAAUCAUCUUUAUUUUCUAAAUCAUUUCUAUUUUCUAUGGAGCAGGUAGAAGAAAUAUGAGGAUAUAUAUACAAAUGUAUGAAUCCUGCAUUUCAACUACUUGCUACAGUAUGAUUUUGAGUUCAUUAUAAAUAAUUAUAAUUGCAUCAUUUUUGUCUUUGUUAAUAGCUUCAAUUUUUAGCAUUUAUAUGUGCCAGGCAUAUGCUAUAUAUGCUACAUGCUUAUGAGUAUGAAUGAUUAUUAAUUCUUAUCUAAAACUAAUUAGGGAAGUAAUAUUACAUAUGUUUACAAAGAAGAAACUGUGUCUUUAGUUAAGAAACUUCCCCUAACUCACAGCUCCAUAAAUGUCAAAUCCAGGAUUCAAAUCUUGCUCUAAAAUCUAUACCCUGCCCCCAUGCCACAUUUCCUGCCAACUAUGCUGUCUGUGAAGUUUAUCCUGUUAUGCCGAGACUAUGAAAAUAAAUGUAACCUAAAACACAUUAGAUUUCAGUUUACUCUUCCCCAGUUUGAUAUACAAAGUCUUGGCAAAUACACUAUGCCAUUGGUGAAAGGUCUUUAUGAUCUUGAUGUGGAGAUGGAAGCUUCUGGAAGUUCUCGUGCCACAUCCCCACAUUUCCUUCCUCAUCUUUCCUUGAUCCUAUGCAGAAAGCCUAGAGUUAAAACCUUGACAAGCAGACUGAGCUGGCUCAGGAGGUUUACAGAGGGAAUACAUAUAUAUUGCUGAGUCUCGCCCCUCACCUCUGCUGUAGGUAUGAACAAGACAAAAAGAAGCAAUGGAAAAGUCAUGGAUUGUCAUCUUGGGCAAUAAGAGUGAGAUAGUCUUCAUAUACUUACAGAGGGUCUGAUUUCCUCCUAAAAUUCAGGGUUGGGGGGUCGUCUCUGUACGACCUCUGUUCCUUAAUACUCACCGCCAAUUGGCCUCUAGUAAAGUACCCACUGUUCCUUACAAAGGCUCUGUGCUAGAGACUUGCCAUGAAUUGAUUCCUCACAACUGACAAGGAACCACUAAAGUCAGUUAAUAAGCCACAAUGUUGAGGAUCAUACUUGGGAUCCCUUUGACCCCUGAAGACCAAUGGUACAGAGGGUCCCCAAAUCCCUUAAAUGAAGAAAAAAUGCAUCACUUAUCAAUAGCAACUCCCACUGUGGAAGUAUUAAGAGAUAUGCCAAAAUGGGCUUAUAUCUUAAUGACUACUAAAACAAUUUGUUUCUGGGUCAGAGUUACAAAGUAUCAUCCUAUACAGCUGGCAUGUCCCUCAGCUUUGUUUUCUAGAAUUUCCGUGGCACAUUUCCAGAUCAGGGUCUAAUAUAAUUGACCUGUGCCCCAGGCAUGGAGUUAGGCCAGAUGAAAACAUGCGGACUCGUUAUGAGGAAUUAUUUCUUUCACCCUGAUUGACAUAAAAAAAUAACCAAAACCAUAGUAAAGAACUAAAAAAAAAAAACACAGUAACUGUUUAUGAACCAAUCCAUGAAUAUUCAUUCUAAUCACGGUACAAUAAUCAAUUAGUAGUAUACACAGCAAGAACAAUAUGAAAUCUGAGACUACAGAUUGCAGAGCUGAAUAAAUCAUCAUUUUUAAAGGACAUAACUAAAGAUAAUGCAUUUUCUUUUCUGGAUGAAAAAUUCAUUUUAUGUUUUCUAGUGAAAUAAAUAAAAGGAAAAAAUACACAUGAAUGGUAAAAAUUAGACCAACAUGACUGUUGCUACAAGUAUAGGCAAGAAAAGCAUUGCCCACAUUAUCGGAUUUUAUAGUUUGGCUAUUCAUUAUCCUGUUUCCUUAAGACUGCAAAAUAAACCAAAAUGUGAGUUUACCAAAAUUCCUAAUGUUUUAUACAGUGCAGCAGACUUUUAAAAAUGCACAAUUAUGCAUUAAUCAUAUCGCUAACAGAGAGCUGUAAUGAAUUACCUUGUAACUCUCUAAGUUUACCUUCCAUAAUAUCAAGUGGUACAAUGUGGCUUGAAUAGUUAAAUUUUCAGUGUGAUGUUUCAACUAAUUGUUUCCAGAAAACAGAAUGUCAGAAUGUCAAACAGGAUGCAAAGCUGCUAAAAACAAAUGAAACUAGAACUAUCAAAGAUUCAAGUCACUAUAGAGUGACCAUAGUAAUAAUCCUAAUUUAAAAUGGUCACUGAUUAAACAUCUUUUUCAUAACUGUUGUAACAUUCCUGAUUCUACGUUUCUAAAUUUCUGACACCUUUAAUGAAAGAACAUAUAAAAAUAAUAGUGAUAGUAUAGAAAAAAGCUUAGACUCAAUGAUGCUCAAUAAACCACAUGCGUGUGUACACACUCUCACAUGCACACACGCACACACACACACACACACACAGUCCCACUCCAGACCUCAAAUGGCUGAGUUGCAGGAUGGUGUUGCCUGGUGACCAAAUAGUAUCUCCUCAGCCACACAGUAAUCUAAACAGUGACAGAUA
ensembl:lncRNA